rnacentral:lncRNA from 1 species
GUGGCGUCAUGCUUUAAGUCUCCAGGCCUGAGAUAUUUUUAAAGCCAGCGUUACUGAGGUAUAGAAUUUGCACAAUAACAUGCAUCCCUUUUCUGUGUGCAGUGGCACGAGCGCUGGCCAACGUUUACACCCAGGCGUCCGCUGCCACCAUGUUCAGAUAUAGAACACUGACAUCACUCCACACUUCCUUGUGUUCACGGAUCUCCUUUCUGCCACUGAAGAUGUGAUUUGCCAUUUCUAGAGCUUCUGCUGUCUUUUCCAUGGAGUGUCUUCAUGUUCAGGUGGCUAUGGAGAGGCUGCUGCAGUUACCUCUCACAUCUACACAUGGUGACGACAAAGAUCAAGAGAGGGAGCUAGGAGGAAGGGCUAUGUCCUUGCUUUCUCUGUCUGUUCUCCAAACAGCAACCAAAGCAAUCCUGAGAAAGUUGAAAGCUUCUACUACUGGGGCCAUGUGUCUCCUGCCUUGUGUCCCCGUGUGCCCCCUGGACCUUGCUGUAGAGAAGACUCAAGUGAGAUUUCCUGUCUUCACAGACUCAGUAAACAUCUCACUCCUAGGCAGGACACUGGCUGAGCUGAUGAAACCUGUGGGUCCUCUGGGGCUGCCAGUGGAAGAAUUCAUGGACAGCCUGGCAAGUCUCCCCAGGAGUCUGGAAAUGUACAGAAGCAGAGAGACUGGAACCAGCUCCUGGCCAGACAUGCUGAAGGAAUUCUGUGUUAGGCACGAAAGCUAUAGAGAUUCUAUUGGCGUGAGGAUCUGGAGGAGUGGAAGGAGUGAUGACCAGGCCUUUGGGACUGAAGUUGGACUUUAGGGGUUUUACAGCAAGGAGAUCAAACUAAUCAGUCCUAAAGGAAAUCAACCCUGAAUAUUCAUUGGAAGGACUGAUGCUGAAGCUGAAGGUCUAGUACUUUGGCCACCUGAUGCAAAGAGCCAGAUCAUUGGAAAAGACCCUGAUGCUGGGAAAGAUUGAAGGCAGGAGGAGAAAGGGAUGACAGAGGAUGAAUGGUUGGCUGGCAUCACUGACUCAAUGGACAUGAAUUUGAGCAAACUCCAAGAGA